UCGAUGUAUUAGUGUUGCCUCUGUGGAUUUAACUCUGCUGUGAGUAGCACUCGUGGCCUUGGAGCUACUUGAUAUUGUGUAGCAUAUUCCAUGCCACUGCAUCGUAGAUUCAAGAUGUCUCCAGCCCUCAGGCUGAUGAAGGCUGAAGCAGUGUAUAUUCCAUAAGCUUCCCAUAGUCAUUGUUGGCUAUGAUUGGGAAGAUAGACCAUGCAAAGUACAGAU
rnacentral:snoRNA from 1 species